rnacentral:misc_RNA from 1 species
GAUGAAGAACGCAGCGAAAUGCGAUAAGUAAUGUGAAUUGCAGAAUUCAGUGAAUCAUCGAAUCUUUGAACGCACAUUGCGCCCCUUGGUAUUCCGAGGGGAAUGCCUGUUCGAGCGUCAUUAUAACCCCUCAAGCUCAGCUUGGUGUUGGGGCCUGCUGCACUGGCAGCCCUUAAAAUCAGUGGCGGCGCCAUCUGGCUCUAAGCGUAGUAAUUCUUCUCGCUAUGGAGUCCUGGUGGAUGCUUGCCAUCAACCCCCAAUUUUUCUAUGGUUGACCUCGGAUCAGGUAGGGAUACCCGCUGAACUUAAGCAUAUCAAUAAGCGGAGGA